ACCACGAACGGUGGAGCCUGCGGUUUAAUUGACGUCAACGCCGGGCAGCUCACCGGAUAAGACAGCUGGAUGAUAGCCGGGCUGAAGACUCUGCUUGACUAGCUGAGAGGAGGUGCAUGGCCGUCGUCAGUUCGUACUGUGAAGCAUCCUGUUAAGUCAGGCAACGAGCGAGACCCACGCCAACAGUUGCCAGCAUGUCCUCCGGGAUGAUGGGGACACUGUUGGGACCGCUUCUGCUAAAGAGGAGGAAGGGAAUGGGCAACGGUAGGUCAGCAUGCCCCGAAUUAUCCGGGCUACACGCGGGCUACAAUGGUCAGGACAAUGGGUACCGACACCGAGAGGUGGAGGCAAUCUCCUAAACCUGUCCUUAGUUCGGAUUGUGGGCUGCAACUCGCCCACAUGAAGCUGGAAUCCGUAGUAAUCGCGUUUCAAAAUAGCGCGGUGAAUAUGUCCCUGCUCCUU
rnacentral:rRNA from 1 species